UAGUAACGGCGAGUGAAGCGGCAACAGCUCAAAUUUGAAAUCUGGCCCUAGCGGUCCGAGUUGUAAUUUGCAGAGGAUGCUUUUGGUGCGGUGCCUUCCGAGUUCCCUGGAACGGGACGCCGGAGAGGGUGAGAGCCCCGUACGGUUGGACACCUACCCUAUACAUAGCUCCUUCGACGAGUCGAGUAGUUUGGGAAUGCUGCUCUAAAUGGGAGGUAAAUUUCUUCUAAAGCUAAAUACCCGGCCAGAGACCGAUAGCGCACAAGUAGAGUGAUCGAAAGAUGAAAAGCACUUUGAAAAGAGGGUUAAAUAGCACGUGAAAUUGUUGAAAGGGAAGCGUUUGCGACCAGACCUUUUCCAGGCGGAUCAUCCGGCGUUCUCGCCGGUGCACUCCGCCUGGUCUAGGCCAGCAUCGGUUUCCUUAGGGGGAUAAAGGCCUGGGGAACGUAGCUCUUCAGGGAGUGUUAUAGCCCCUAGCGUAAUACCCUUCAGGGGACCGAGGACCGCGCUUCGGCAAGGAUGCUGGCGUAAUGGUCGUCAACGACCCGUCUUGAAACACGGACCAAGGAGUCGAACAUUUGUGCGAGUGUUUGGGUGUCAAACCCUCACGCGUAAUGAAAGUGAACGGAGGUGAGAGCCCUUACGGGUGCAUCAUCGACCGAUCCUGAAGUCUUCGGAUGGAUUUGAGUAAGAGCAUAACUGUUCGGACCCGAAAGAUGGUGAACUAUGCGUGGAUAGGGUGAAGCCAGAGGAAACUCUGGUGGAGGCUCGCAGCGGUUCUGACGUGCAAAUCGAUCGUCAAAUCUGCGCAUGGGGGCGAAAGACUUAUCGAACCAUCUAGUAGCUGGUUACCGCCGAAGUUUCCCUCAGGAUAGCAGUGUUGUCUUCAGUUUUAUGAGGUAAAGCGAAUGAUUAGGGACUCGGGGGCGCUAUUUUGCCUUCAUCCAUUCUCAAACUUUAAAUAUGUAAGAAGCCCUUGUUGCUUAAUUGAACGCGGGCAUUCGA
rnacentral:rRNA from 1 species